UACAGAGGUCCCAAGCGUUGUUCGGAUUCACUGGGCGUAAAGGGUGCGUAGGCGGUUUGAUAAGUCUGAAUGUGAAAUCCCGCAGCUUAACUGCGGAACUGCAUUGGAAACUAUCUCACUAGAGGAAUGGAGGGGAGACUGGAAUACUUGGUGUAGCAGUGAAAUGCGUAGAUAUUAAGUGGAACACCAGUGGCGAAGGCGAGUGCUCUGGACAUUUCCUGACGCUGAGGCACGAAGCCAGGGGAGC
rnacentral:rRNA from 1 species